GACGAACGCUGGCGGCGUGCUUAACACAUGCAAGUCGAACGGAAAGGCCCUGCUUUUGUGGGGUGCUCGAGUGGCGAACGGGUGAGUAACACGUGAGUAACCUGCCCUUGACUUUGGGAUAACUUCAGGAAACUGGGGCUAAUACCGGAUAGGAGCUCCUGCUGCAUGGUGGGGGUUGGAAAGUUUCGGCGGUUGGGGAUGGACUCGCGGCUUAUCAGCUUGUUGGUGGGGUAGUGGCUUACCAAGGCUUUGACGGGUAGCCGGCCUGAGAGGGUGACCGGCCACAUUGGGACUGAGAUACGGCCCAGACUACUACGGGAGGCAGCAGUGGGGAAUAGUGCACAAUGGGCGGGAGCCUGAUGCAGCAACGCCGCGUGCGGGAUGACGGCCUUCGGGUUGUAAACCGCUUUCGCCUGUGACGAAGCGUGAGUGACGGUAAUGGGUAAAGAAGCACCGGCUAACUACGUG
rnacentral:rRNA from 1 species